UAAAAAUUCUCCCAGAGUGCCCCUGGAGGGGUGGUGGCCCCAUCAGUGCAACUGAGCAGACGGAUGUGCUCUCUGACCCACGAUGUGGUGCCCCUAGAAGCGGACAGUCUUCUUCCCUGGUGGGACAUCUACCCUGGACCCUUUCCUGCCCUCCUGACAGUCCACAGGAGGCUGGAUUCACUGGGGCAGGGCCACGAGGUAGCCCAGUACAGAUCCGGAUUCAACCACCGUAUGAGAGAGUUCCACUCCAGCCGUGGACCGGAUGGCGACACGUAAGGCCCAUUCUGCCUCCAGCGACCUCGGCUGUUUGCUCUACUGUUUAUUUUCAGUGGGUGCUGACUCAACCAGGAGAUGAACUCCCUCAGACUGAACGGAAGGGCCGAGCUGGGACUCUGACCCAGGGACAUAGGAGGGACCUUCCUGCAAUGGGAUGAUGUAAGCUGGGACAGUCCCUUGGGGGACGUGCAGGAAGUAGGAGAGCUGGUCUUGAGAUGGAUCAGCGGGUACUGCGGAGGAGGGGGAACACUGAAUUACUGUUAAGUCGCUGCAGAUGAUAAGAUUCUACGGUAAGAACCCCCUUUAAGGCUUGCUUUUUCUUUAAGGAAGCUAAGAUUUGGGAUGCACGGUAAUUUACUCCCCAAUUUGAUUUCGGAUGCUUCUAUGAUGUCCUGGCCAUCUUGAAUAACGGACUACCAAGUGAAGCAGCCAGCGGGGCUGUCCCCAUGCCAGUCCUUUAAACACUCCCCGGACACCUGUGAGGAGGCUCCCUGACCAUCACAGCUGCUUGCCAGCUCCAGGAGGCACUGUUUCAGAUGCGUCUGUUUCAAACAGUUUGUGCUGGACUUGGUGAACUCCACAUGACCCUGCAACCAGUUUGACCCAGGCCAGAGGGCUAGCACUUCCCCAAGUGAUGCAGCAGAAGGCCUGUGGUCAGUACAAAGACAGUCCUUUGUUUGCAUAAAAGUUUGCCAUGGUUUGAUGCAGAUGUCAGAAGCAUACCCACUUCUUGUCUACAGAAGCAGGGUGUCCAGGUCACUUUCCCAGCCAGCCUGGAGACACCUCCUUGUGUGGCCCCUGGUUUUGUGACGUUAAGUCCAAUAAGAAGAUUUUC